UUUCCUCAGCAGUAUAAACCAAAAACAACGAGCCACACCUCUAACCAAAGGUCCUGAAAUUCUUUAUCCCUAAACCAAGAACGCGCAGGAAAAGCAUUCACACAUACAAAGCCACUGCUAGUCCCUAACUCGCCAGAAACAACAGUUAAACCACCUGAAAAUGACCACCAUUUCAAGAUCCAAAGAUCGAGCUCAAAUAAGUGAGAAAUUCCGAUUACCAGCUCUGUGUCUUCCUGUUCAAGCUCGUCGAGUCCGCAUUCCAUCAGAGGUUUUUCAAUUUUCGACGAGCUUCAAGGUCGUCAAAGUUCUCUGUCUGGGCUCUUGUUACUGUUGUUUCUUCCGGCCAAAUUAGUUCAUUUGAGUUUAUUGUAACUGAGUUCUUAUUAAUAUAAUUCAGGUCAGAUUCUCACUCACGUCUUUCUUCUCAAUUUCGUAUAGUAAAUAUUGAAGAAUCGGGUUUAUUUGGUAGUACAUGAAUGCUUGAAAGUUCAUGUUGAUAUUCACAUUGCUUUGUGUUCUUUUUGAAUGGUUUUAGCAUUUACUGUGGGUUCGUUAAUAAAUAUUCAUUAGGCUUGAUUAGGAGAAAGAUAGUUUAUUGAUAAUUUCAAAAUAUUUGGUUGUUGGAGUUUGUUUUUAAUUGAUGAAAUUGGUCUGGGGAUGCGCGUCUAAACUCGAAAGAUAGUAUGUGUUUAACAUGAUUUUCCCUUCCCUGUUUUCACAGUUUCCCUUUGACAUUUGAGUGGAUUAAUCAAGAGCCUUACAAUCUCCUAAUAGAAUGUAGUUAUUUUAAAGCGAGGUGUGCCAUAAUAAUGAAAUCACCUAUGGCCCUCAUAUUUUAUAACUUAGAUAUGAAAAUAAAUCUUAUAGUUCGGUUUAGCGCGAAAAGCGAGGUGUGCCAUAAUAAUUAAAUCACCUAUGCCGUCAUAUUUUAUAACUUAGAUACGAAAAUAAAUCUUGUAGUUCGGUUUGGCGCGCUAAUUAUUUAAUAUUCAUAGCUACUACUACAAUUUUGGGUGUACAUUUCAUCUGAUACAACUUCAAUUUCCAACAAGGUUAAACAGAACAUGUCGUGAACUAUGUGUGCAUUUCAUGAAGCCUGGCUUACGAUAUGUUUUAAAUGACCUUCAAAUAAUUCUUGAAAUAAUUAAAAGUGGUUAGAAAGUUAAAAAUACAUAAUAGGUUUAAAACAUGUAAUUAAUCAGAUAAUUUGUCCAAUUAUUAAUAGUUAAAUGACUGUACUAAAACCAUGAAAUCCAGGAAUGCCUAACACCUUAGCCUCAGUUAACAAAAUUCCUUACCUGGAUUUAUGUGUUAGCUGACUAUAAAACAGAGUAAAUUUUUUCUCGAUUCAGGAUUUGAAAUGGUGACUUGGAACACCAUAAAUUAUCAUAAGUGGCAACUCUGAUUUUAAUAAAAAUAAUCUCGUUUCAAUAGUGACUUAAAUUGGAAAAACUCCCUUAUAUCCUAACGGGUAUAGGUAAAAAGGAGGUGUGACAUACAGACUCGUGGAAGGACAAGGAUUCUAUUGAUGUGAUUUUUUUCGGAUUUCGAGACAUGCGCCCCGGGAUUGAGUUUAACCAAUUUCGGGAUUUUUGAUGUAAUUUAGUCAUUUUCAUUUAGGCUUUGUUAUCUUAGAAUAUUUUGAUGUUAUGGUUCUGAUUUUUGUUAGAUUUGGGACAUUCGAAGGCCAAAUCGAGAGGCAAGGGCAUCAUGGGAUAGAGCUUGGCAUGCUUGAGGCAAGUAACGCUUCCAAACUUGGGUUUGAGGGUUCAAAACCCCGAAUAAUGUGUUCUAUGAUUUCUAUUGAGGUAACGCAAAU
rnacentral:lncRNA from 1 species